UCGCGGCUUAUCACCGGCAGUCUCCUUAGAGUGCUCAACUAAAUGGUAGCAACUAAGGACGGGGGUUGCGCUCGUUGCGGGACUUAACCCAACAUCUCACGACACGAGCUGACGACAGCCAUGCAGCACCUCGACUCCGGUCCCUUGCGGGAAGUCUCUGUUUCCAAAGAUUGUCCAAAGCCGUUCGAGCCUAGGUAAGGUUCUUCGCGUUGCGUCGAAUUGAACCACAUGCUCCACCGCUUGUGCGGGCCCCCGUCAAUUCCUUUGAGUUUCAGCCUUGCGACUGUACUCCCCAGGCGGCAUAUUUAACGCGUUAGCUCCGGCACAGACCAAAUGAAUGGCCCACACCAAAUAUGCAUCGUUUAGGGCGUGGACUAC
rnacentral:misc_RNA from 1 species